UACGAAGGGGGCUAGCGUUGCUCGGAAUUACUGGGCGUAAAGCGCACGUAGGCGGCUUUCUAAGUCGGGGGUGAAAUCCUGGAGCUCAACUCCAGAACUGCCUUCGAUACUGGAAAGCUCGAGUCCGGGAGAGGUGAGUGGAACUGCGAGUGUAGAGGUGAAAUUCGUAGAUAUUCGCAAGAACACCAGUGGCGAAGGCGGCUCACUGGCCCGGUACUGACGCUGAGGUGCGAAAGCUAGGGGAGCAAACAGG
rnacentral:rRNA from 1 species